CGGACCUUUGAAAAGAGGGGGGAAAGGCCUUCUGAUGACAGGGCCGAAGGGCCAGCCUUUCCCGGCUGCAGCCCGCCGCCCCCGACCCCUCGUCCCACCACCGUCCUUCUCCCCCGCUGGGUUCCCGGCUCACCGCGUCGGAUGAAACUGGACACGGAGAGGGUCGGUCAGAGCCGGGCAGAGCGCGGCAGGCCCAGCGAGCUGUCACGUUCAGGAGCGCUUACCCCGCCUCGGGACCGGGCGGCAGCGGUGGCAGAGAUGUCGCUCCUCCGGUCUGAGACCAGGUGCCCCCUGCAGCAACUAUUUAUAUGAUCCUGACCCCCAGAGAAUCAGCUGUACUGAGGCCACUGCGGAGGCAGCCUAUCAGAAAAGUCUUUCGUGUCAAACGUUGGGGGAAAUGGAAAAGGAUGUGACAAGGAGCAAGCGUGACUCAGACACUGUGCCCAGGCGAUGGCACUGCGUCUCUGACUUGGCAGGUUCAGGGUCACCUGUGGGAAGGUUUUCCACGGGGCAGCUGGGAAGCAUAGCCUGUGUGUGAGCUGCCUGAAGAGCAGGAGGCCAGAGCAUAAACCCAGUGGACAAGCAGCAUGGGAUCAAUUGGGAAAAGACAACUGAACUUCUGAGUCCGAAGGGCUGGGUUCCAGUCUUGGCCAAACCUCCUCCUGAUGAUUAUGGAAAAGCCAUGAUAUAUCUUCCGAUGGGACAGUGACACCUGUGACAAUGUACAGGAAGAAGGCAGGGCUUCCCUUGUGGCUCAGAGGUUACAAAUCCGCCUGCCAACCCAGGAGACAUGGAUUCAACCCCUGGUCCAAGAAGAUCCCACGUGUCUCAGAGCACCUAAGCCUGUGUGCCGCAACUGUUGAGCCUGCGCUCUAGAGCCUGGGAGCCUCAACUACUGAGCCCGUGUGUCCCAACUACGGAAGCCACACACUCUAGAGCCCGUGCUCCGAAACAAGAGAAGCCAGCACAAUGAGAAGUCUGUGCACGGCAACGAAGAGUAGCCCCCACUUGCCACAACUAGAGAAAAGUCAGAGCAGCGACGAAGACCCAGCACAGCCAAAAAUAAAUAAAUAAAAUAAAACUUUUAAAAAGAAAGC
rnacentral:lncRNA from 1 species